AUUGAACGCUGGCGGCAUGCCUUACACAUGCAAGUCGAACGGCAGCACGGGAGCAAUCCUGGUGGCGAGUGGCGAACGGGUGAGUAAUACAUCGGAACGUGCCCAGUAGUGGGGGAUAACCCGGCGAAAGCCGGACUAAUACCGCAUACGACCUACGGGUGAAAGCAGGGGAUCGCAAGACCUUGCGCUAUCGGAGCGGCCGAUGUCAGAUUAGCUAGUUGGCGGGGUAAAAGCCCACCAAGGCGACGAUCUGUAGCUGGUCUGAGAGGACGACCAGCCACACUGGGACUGAGACACGGCCCAGACUCCUACGGGAGGCAGCAGUGGGGAAUUUGGACAAUGGGCGCAAGCCUGAUCCAGCCAUGCCGCGUGCGGGAAGAAGGCCU
rnacentral:rRNA from 1 species